AACAGGAAGUGUCUAUUUCCUUCUGGAAGCCUAGGGCCGCCAGCCAGCUUCAGCUGCCUUCUGCUUGCUCCCCAGGACGGCUGGAAACCUGAUGUGAUCAAAAUACAUUAUGCACCGGCAAGGAGGAGCAACUUGGAGUCACCCCGAGAAGGGAGAGGCAAAGGCAAGAACCCCAUCUUUGCAGGGAAUAGAGAGGUGAAUGCAGAGACUCACAGCAGCACAGAUGCUGAGAAUAAAAGCUGGUUUUCUGCCAUCCCUGGGAUCCAGUAAGCAUUGAGGACAAUGAUUGGAUCAGAGGAGGUCAGAGUCUCCGGGACUCAGUCACCUCCUAUGGGAAACUGCUGUAUCAGCAUAUUUGACAGCAGAGGGCAGCAACUGAGGUGACUCUUCAAAUGUUAGUGGCUCUCAGGCAUCCUUGCAGUCCUCUGAAGGAGGCUAUGCAUGCUGCAUUAUCUGAAAUUCGAAAGACUACCACCUAGCUACCCCACCCUGGUAGAUAAUAUGUUGAUUGCAGGAUACAAUAAGGACACUGUUUACAACUAUGUGGAGACAGUAAUUGAUACCCUGGUACAUGAUGGCUGAACCAUUAAUAGAGACAAUGUGAAAGGGCCAGAUACCUCAACAGAGUUUCUAGGCAUGUUAUGGACACCUGAAGGAACCAUGAUCCUAUAUGGCUUAUUGCACAGGAUUUUAGAUAUCCUCCACCCAGGUAUGAAACACAGAUGCAGCAUCUAAUGUAUGUUUGCUUACUGGAGGAACCACAUACCGCGUUUACAGAUUAUUAUGAAAUCCCUCUAUAGGGUUACUAAAAAGGCAGCUGAUUUCCACUGGAGACAGGAGCAAAGAGAAGCUUUUGAGACCGCCUGCUAGCUCAUCUCUGUGAAUGCAAUUUGACCAAUAUUGAACAAGAUGAUACCCUAAUUAUGAAUAUCAUAUUUAUUGGUGAAUAUGGCAACUAGGGACUCUUUAUAAAGCAAAAGGGAAUCCAUCAACAUUUGCCCGUUGACUUAUAUUGCAAACACUUCCCAUAUGUGGAGAACAGAUACUCUCUCUUUGAGAAGCAAAUCUGGACAUUUUUUGAAGCAUGCAGAACCCUACACUCAGCCAUGACUCACACCAACUCACACCAACCACCUAUGGUCAUAAAGGUACCCUUUACAAUGAUGGAUUGGAUCCACUCACAGACAGAGUCUCUCACAGGCUUAACUAUAGAAGGAAAGGUAUUACAGUGGAAAUGGUACCUAACUGAAUUCCUUCAUAACCAGGAUGUGGCAGCAAAGGGGUCUGUGCCUUCACGCACUGAGGAAAUAACUCAGUUGCCCAUAACACCCAUCCCUAAACCAACCCAAAAGAGGCACCUAUUGGACUGUGGGGAUCAAUGGCCACAGCAGUUGGCUAACACAUGGUUCACUGAUGGCUCAUCAGCCCCUGAUAGGACCAAAACUAGAUGGAAAGCAACAGCCUAUAGACUAAGGGAUGGAACGGCCACUUACUGAGGAAGGAACCACAAAGCCAGUGCGACACACUGAAGUAAUAGCAGCACUGGCUAUAAGACAAGGAAGGCAAAGGGGAAAUCUACUUAUUCUCCAAAACAUGGUCUGUGUGCUAUGGUAUAGCUAUAUGGUGGUCAAGAUGGAAAACCACUAGCUGGAAGAUAAAUGGUCAAGAGAAGCAUGGAUGGAAAUGAAUGGAAAAGAAGCAUGGAAAGCAUGAAGAAAAACAUCAAAAUUUAUAUGGCCCAGGGACAGAAUACCGGAGACUUAAAGAAGAGAAGUCAUGGCAAGUAAACCAAGGGUAAAGUAUGAUGUUGGUGACUUACCUUACCACAUCUUGGGUGGGUUUCUAUUAGAAUACUGGGACCACGAACAUCUCAGCCUCAGAUGCCAGGAGAGCAUUCUAUGCUCAGCAUGCUCACUGUGAAGAUUUAGGGAAUGGCUGUCACUGCUUCCUCAUGUGGAACAUUUUCUAUUGGAUAAAGGAAAGACUUCGGCUUUUUGUAUACAUCAUAUUGGCUUUUCUUGGCAUGCAAACUCCUUCUGAUCCGUUGGAGCUUGUUUAGCAAACUUCACUUCUGGAAGAACUGUGGCAGUGAACCCCAGAGACUAUCUCACCAGCAGGGACACAGUGGCUAUGCAUGAUUCCAGCAAACACAUCUGUCCAAACUGUGACCGGAGAGCCUUCUUUGGGAGAUGCUUCAUUUCCUCGGUGACAUUACAAACCAGGACUAUUAUGUUCUGUAUUCUUGGUUCUACCCCAGCAAGAAAAUGUCAUUUCUGUCAGAAGAGGCGGCCUGUAUAUGCUGGUAUCAGACCCAAGAUGGAUGCUUCCUGAGAUUCACCAGACUUUCCGAUGCUCUGUAUCCACGCCUGCUUUACCAUAUUCAUCUACACGAAACUGAGAAACAGCAUUGGGAGCUAAUUAGGAAGCCCACUGUGCUCUCGGUUGCUCUUUUCUCUAGCAAAAGAAGAAAUGCUUGGCCCACAGCCUUGACCCACAUGCUCCUGCUUGACACUGCGCUAAUGGGAUGAUGCUCUACUGUGACUGGCUUAGCUUAGUCUGACAGCCCCAACCCCGCUACACCCCCUUAACUCUACGACAUUUUUGUUUGAAAGUGAUCGCAUUACCUUUUAUUUCUGACUGUGUUUUUCAUCUUGACUGUAUCAAACCUUGAGAAAGUACAAACUUGGAAAUUUACGUGUCUUAGUCGGGGUCACUGUUGUGGUGAUGAGACACCAUGAGCAAAGCACCUUGGGAAGAAGAGGGUUUAUCUGGCUUCCACAUCACUGUGCCUCCUGUGGGAAGUCAGGACAAGGAGCUCAGACAGGGCAGGAACCGAUGCAGAGGCCAUGGAAGGAUUUGCAGCUUGCAGUGAAACUAUGAUGGUAAGGAUUCUGAGGUGUGCAUAGGGGCGGCGGCCUGGAAGACCAACCACGUGCUGGCCUGCCACCCAGGCCCAGAUCCAGCGCUUUGAGUCAUGCACCCCAGCCAUGCACCCCGAGUCAUGCAGCCUGAGCCAUGCAAUCCGAGCCAUGCCCCCCCCCCAACGUUUACUCCCUCUACAAGUUGUUGGCGCGGGGGGAGGAGCCAGCGCUGCAGAACCAGUUCCAGGAACAUGUCAUCAUUAUGGAGGCUGAAAACCUGAAGCAUGACUAUGAUCAAAGCCGGCACCCGCCACCACUGAGAAGUUCUGGGGAGCCCGAGAGACCCACGGAGGCUCCCAGGGGUGACGAGGAGGCAGAGGAGUCUGCAGAUCCUACAAUGUCCCUGGGAAAGCGAGAGAAGGGCAGGUCUAUGGGAAGGUACUUUUAAAAAGUGGACUCAGGAAAUUGGAAGGAAAGCUGUCAGCACAGAUUUGGAUGCAUGGGGAAUAACGGUGAAGCUACAGACCGCGAAGCUACAGACGGUGAUGCAGUGGUCCACGCUGUAGCCAGGAACCAUGUGGAAGACCAUGACAGUGCAGCCGCUGACUGUAAAGGGUGAGGAAGCUUCUUCCGCAGCAGUGUGGAUGACUGCAGACUCAUGGCUGAGAAAUAGAAGAGUUCUGUGACAACACCCCCUCUCCCGCCUCCCACUCCCCCAUCCCCCCACCUCCCACCCCCCACCCCCGCAAACAGUCUAGACUGGAAGCCAUUGAAGAGACUUCUUUAAACUUGUGAUAAAGAUGCUGAAGUGUAGCUCUCCACAACUGAUGGCUUCCGGGAGGGGUGUGGGUGGGGAAGGACUCAGUUUUCUCUAAGAGUGGCCACUGGGAGUUUCCCCAUGCUCCAGUAAGUAUAAGGACAACAUAAAUUGGACUUGGUAUUUCUUCUUCUCUUGUUGGGGGGGGUCAUAAUAGUGAGUGGGUGGACCUGGAAGGACUGAGAAAUUGAUGGAAUCAGAGUGCAUUAUGUGAAAUUUCCAAAGAACCAAUGAAAGCGUUACGUUAAAAGAAUUCUCAUUUGUGGUCCUCAUCAGCAUUGUGUAUGCCCCAAGGACCAGGGGAUGGACUGUGAUGGGCAUAAUACAAAAUGCCCUUUAGACAUGUCAAAAUAUCCCCAGGCUGUACCUGAUAACCAGAACCCCGUGACAUCACUCACUCAAGAGAUCCAGACACAGGACUGGAACUCCACAGCGCCCGCUGGACAGUAAUAUAAGCAGGGAUCAAGAGCAGUGCGGUGUUCUGCACAUUUUCAGGACGGCUGGAGGGAUGUCACCGUGACUGACCCUGUGACUGGAGAGUCUCCUAUGGAAUCCUGACCCUUCACCGAGACUACUGUGAGAGACUGGACCCAACCUUCAGCUAAGAGAUGUUGCACAGAUGAGCGGCCUUGGGGAGACAGGCUUAGGACCGUAGUCAGGAGCUUGGAGUAAUGAAAUAGAACUUGUUAGACCAA